rnacentral:misc_RNA from 1 species
AAGUCGUAACAAGGUUUCCGUAGGUGAACCUGCGGAAGGAUCAUUAUCACGUAUCCACGUAUAAACCAAUUCGUGAACUGUUUACCCCACCUCUGGGCUAUGGCCGCUGUCAUUUGGACACAUGAGUUCAUUGUAUGAUUAUGGACUCGUCCUUGACAAUUAAGGCUGUUUCUUCAGAGCGUAUUAAUCAUACUUUAUAAUCAAUUAACCACUUGAACACUAUGAAAUUUUCUUUGUUUGAACUGAUUUGUUUCUUACUCAGCGCUGAUAAAACGGCGCCGAGAAGAAAUCGAUUUACGAAACAAAAAAGAACAACUCUUAGCAACGGAUAUCUUGGUUCUC